AUUGAACGCUGGCGGCAGGCCUAACACAUGCAAGUCGAGCGAGAGGGGGACGGGGGAGUAAGGUAUGGGGAGGGCGCGAUAGAGGGGGAUAAGUAAUGGAAACGGUGGCUAAUACCGCAUACUAUCGGAUAACCCAUAUGGGAUUAGCUAGUAGGGGGGGUAAAGGCUCACCUAGGCGACGAUCUCUAGCUGGUCUGAGAGGAUGAUCAGCCACACUGGGACUGAGACACGGCCCAGACUCCUACGGAGGCAGCAGUGGGGAAUAUUGCCCAAUGGGCGCAAGCCUGAUGCAGCCAUGCCGCGUGUAUGAAGAAGGCCUUAGGGUUGUAAAGUACUUUCAGCGGGGAGGCGUUACCCGCAGAAUAAGCACCGGCUAACUCCGUGCCAGCAGCCGCGGUAAUAC
rnacentral:rRNA from 1 species